rnacentral:rRNA from 1 species
GAUGAACGCUGACAGAAUGCUUAACACAUGCAAGUCGAUGGGGAAGUGGUGCUUGCACCCUGGUAACCAUGGCGGACGGGUGAGUAACGCGUAAGGAACUUACCUGCGGGACCGGGAUAACAGCAGGAAACUGCUGACAAGACCGGAUAAGGUCAUUAAGCUGCAUAGCUUAGUGAUGAAAGGAGACGCCUGCGGAGAGCCUUGCGUCCUAUUAGCUGGUUGGAGGGGUAACGGCCCACCAAGGCGAAGAUAGGUAGCCGGCCUGAGAGGGUGGACGGCCACAAGGGGACUGAGAUACGGCCCUUACUCCUACGGGAGGCAGCAGUGGGGAAUAUUGGACAAUGGGGGCAACCCUGAUCCAGCAAUUCUGUGUGCACGAAGACGGUUUUCGGAUUGUAAAGUGCUUUCAGCAGGGAAGAAGGAAGUGACGGUACCUGCAGAAGAAGCGACGGCUAAAUACGUG